rnacentral:rRNA from 1 species
CCCUUAGAUGUUCUGGGCCGCACGCGCGCUACACUGACGAAUGCAACGAGCUUAUAACCUUGGCCGAAAGGUCUGGGUAAUCUCCAAAUUUCGUCGUGAUGGGGAUAGAUUAUUGCAAUUAUUAAUCUUCAACGAGGAAUGCCUAGUAAGCGCGAGUCAUCAGCUCGCGUUGAUUACGUCCCUGCCCUUUGUACACACCGCCCGUCGCUCCUACCGAUUGAAUGGUCCGGUGAAAUGUUCGGAUCGCGGCAAAUCGGACGGGUAACCGUCAGGUUCGCUGCGAGAAGUUCAUUAAACCUUAUCAUUUAGAGGAAGGAGAAGUCGUAACA